CACGUAGGGUGCGAGCGUUGUCCGGAAUUAUUGGGCGUAAAGAGCUCGUAGGCGGUGUGUCGCGUCGGCCGUGAAAACCCGCGGCUCAACUGUGGGCGGGCAGCUGAUACGGGCAGGCUGGAGUUCGGUAGGGGAGACUGGAAUUCCUGGUGUAGCGGUGAAAUGCGCAGAUAUCAGGAGGAACACCGGUGGCGAAGGCGGGUCUCUGGGCCGAUACUGACGCUGAGGAGCGAAAGCGUGGGGAGCGAACAGG
rnacentral:rRNA from 1 species